rnacentral:rRNA from 1 species
CGCGGCCUAUCAGCUUGUUGGUGAGGUAACGGCUCACCAAGGCAUCGACGGGUAGCUGGUCUGAGAGGACGAUCAGCCACACUGGGACUGAGACACGGCCCAGACUCCUACGGGAGGCAGCAGUAGGGAAUCUUGCGCAAUGGGCGAAAGCCUGACGCAGCAACGCCGCGUGGGGGAUGAAGGCCUUCGGGUCGUAAACCCCUUUCAGCAGGGACGAAAAUGACGGUACCUGCAGAAGAAGGUCCGGCCAACUACGUGCCAGCAGCA